rnacentral:rRNA from 1 species
AGAGUUUGAUCCUGGCUCAGAUUGAACGCUGGCGGCAGGCCUAACACAUGCAAGUCGAGCGGUAGAGAGGAGCUUGCUCCUCUUGAGAGCGGCGGACGGGUGAGUAAUGCCUAGGAAUCUGCCUGGUAGUGGGGGAUAACGUUCGGAAACGGACGCUAAUACCGCAUACGUCCUACGGGAGAAAGCAGGGGACCUUCGGGCCUUGCGCUAUCAGAUGAGCCUAGGUCGGAUUAGCUAGUUGGUGAGGUAAUGGCUCACCAAGGCGACGAUCCGUAACUGGUCUGAGAGGAUGAUCAGUCACACUGGAACUGAGACACGGUCCAGACUCCUACGGGAGGCAGCAGUGGGGAAUAUUGGACAAUGGGCGAAAGCCUGAUCCAGCCAUGCCGCGUGUGUGAAGAAGGUCUUCGGAUUGUAAAGCACUUUAAGUUGGGAGGAAGGGCAGUAAAUUAAUACUUUGCUGUUUUGACGUUACCGACAGAAUAAGCACCGGCUAACUCUGUGCCAGCAGCCGCGGUAAUACAGAGGGUGCAAGCGUUAAUCGGAAUUACUGGGCGUAAAGCGCGCGUAGGUGGUUUGUUAAGUUGGAUGUGAAAUCCCCGGGCUCAACCUGGGAACUGCAUUCAAAACUGACUGACUAGAGUAUGGUAGAGGGUGGUGGAAUUUCCUGUGUAGCGGUGAAAUGCGUAGAUAUAGGAAGGAACACCAGUGGCGAAGGCGACCACCUGGACUAAUACUGACACUGAGGUGCGAAAGCGUGGGGAGCAAACAGAAUUAGAUACCCUGGUAGUCCACGCCGUAAACGAUGUCAACUAGCCGUUGGAAGCCUUGAGCUUUUAGUGGCGCAGCUAACGCAUUAAGUUGACCGCCUGGGGAGUACGGCCGCAAGGUUAAAACUCAAAUGAAUUGACGGGGGCCCGCACAAGCGGUGGAGCAUGUGGUUUAAUUCGAAGCAACGCGAAGAACCUUACCAGGCCUUGACAUCCAAUGAACUUUCUAGAGAUAGACUGGUGCCUUCGGGAGCAUUGAGACAGGUGCUGCAUGGCUGUCGUCAGCUCGUGUCGUGAGAUGUUGGGUUAAGUCCCGUAACGAGCGCAACCCUUGUCCUUAGUUACCAGCACGUAAUGGUGGGCACUCUAAGGAGACUGCCGGUGACAAACCGGAGGAAGGUGGGGAUGACGUCAAGUCAUCAUGGCCCUUACGGCCUGGGCUACACACGUGCUACAAUGGUCGGUACAGAGGGUUGCCAAGCCGCGAGGUGGAGCUAAUCCCACAAAACCGAUCGUAGUCCGGAUCGCAGUCUGCAACUCGACUGCGUGAAGUCGGAAUCGCUAGUAAUCGCGAAUCAGAAUGUCGCGGUGAAUACGUUCCCGGGCCUUGCACUCACCGCCCGUC